rnacentral:rRNA from 1 species
AGAGUUUGAUCCUGGCUCAGAUUGAACGCUGGCGGCAUGCUUUACACAUGCAAGUCGAACGGUAACAGGGAGCUUGCUCCGCUGACGAGUGGCGAACGGGUGAGUAAUGCGUCGGAACGUGCCGAGUAGUGGGGGAUAACGCAUCGAAAGGUGUGCUAAUACCGCAUACGAACUGAGGUUGAAAGUGGGGGACCUUCGGGCCUCACGCUAUUCGAGCGGCCGACGUCUGAUUAGCUAGUUGGUGAGGUAAAGGCUCACCAAGGCGACGAUCAGUAGCGGGUCUGAGAGGAUGAUCCGCCACACUGGGACUGAGACACGGCCCAGACUCCUACGGGAGGCAGCAGUGGGGAAUUUUGGACAAUGGGCGCAAGCCUGAUCCAGCCAUGCCGCGUGUCUGAAGAAGGCCUUCGGGUUGUAAAGGACUUUUGUCCGGGAGCAAAUGCCUGGUGUUAAUAGCAUCGGGAGCUGAGAGUACCGGAAGAAUAAGCACCGGCUAACUACGUGCCAGCAGCCGCGGUAAUACGUAGGGUGCAAGCGUUAAUCGGAAUUACUGGGCGUAAAGCGUGCGCAGGCGGUUUUGUAAGCCAGAUGUGAAAGCCCCGGGCUCAACCU